AGAAAGGGUGCGUCACAGAGAUGAAGAGAGACUGGAAGUGGAUUUACCGAGAUGCUUCCUCAUAGGAAAUCCUGUGUUCGACCAGCCACGGUCUUUCUCUGCUUGGGAGGAAGGAGGAACUCCAGGUUCUGCUCCUGGGCUCACUGGAGGGAGAUUUGGUUUCAGUUCCUGCUCUUUUUUUUUUUUUUCCCCUGUGCUGGGAUACAUUAAGCUAAGCCACUGAUCCGAAGUGCAGCAACCAGAAGUGGCCUUGCUGGGAGGCUGACUUAUCUAGACCUCUUCACCUUGGUCUUGGCUGUUGUUUGGGCUGGAGUUCCUGGCUGAAGACAGAGCCCUAAAGGAAGAUCCAUAUGAUGUCCAUGGGCAAGGCUCUGAGGACAGAAAGAUGAAUAAUAAUGCAUAUUUUGCACGUGGAAGGAGACCACACUCUAGCCGCGGAAAAGGAGGCAGUUCUGUGUAUUUUCACACAUGGAACUUUGGACAUAGGAAGACAUAAGUCACCAGGUUCCAGAUGCUAGCAUGAUGCCGACCAGACUUUCCUGGACAGACAACCCCACCAAUGAGUCCUGGAGCUCUGCUUCCCCAGAGACCCACCUUACUAGGGAAAGAGAGAGGCAGACUGGGAGUAUGGACUGACUAGUCAACGCCCAUGUUCAGUGAGCAAGCAAUUACAGAAGCCAGACCUUCCACCUUCUGCAUCCCACAAUGACCUUGGGUCCAUACACCCAGAGGGAUAAAGAAUAGGAAAGCUAUCAGGGGAAAGGAUGGGAUAUGGAGAUCUGGUGGUGGAAACUGUGUGGAGUUUUACUCCUCUUAUCCUAUGGUUUUGUUAAUGUCUCCUUUUAAAAAUAAAUAAAUAAAUAAACAAAAAAGAUAGUCCAUGCUAUCUGAAGCAGUUUUAAAAAAGCUAUUUUAUAUAGUAUGACUAAAUAAAAGAAUAAGCAAAAAAUAGAAUCAGGGAUAAAGAGGGUCAUUUCCUGCUGGAAAAGUGGUCAUUACACUUACAGGAUGUAGCAGUAAAGAUUGUUAUGCACCUAAAAAUGGUUUCAAAAUACAUGAAGCACAACUGAUAAAAUGGAAAAGAAAAAUAAUUCUUCUAUAGUCUCAUAUUUCCAC